AGGCAGAGCGCCACAGAGGAGUGGCCCAAGGCCACACACGCAGAGGCACUCUUGAGAAGGGAGAGCUGCACCAGAUGUAUGCGGACGGCACCUGGGCGGCUCUGGACAUCGAGGGUGCAAGGACCCCUCAGCAUCUGUCAGGAGGCCAGGCCUGGGAUGGACCAGCACCAGCCUCUGCCUUUCUGUCUCUCCACAAGACUCUCAGGAGCAAUCCCAGUGAUUCGGGAGGCUAAAGCAGGAGGGUUGUGAGUUUGAAAACAGCCUGAGCAACAUCGCAAGACCCUGUUCUAAAAAAAAAAAAAAAAAAAAAAGGCCUCCUCAGAAGAAAAUAGGAUUGAUUGGUCUUGGGCCACACCUCACUCCAUGUUUGAGAGAGGGAGGAUACUUUGGUGGACAGCUCCUUUCAGAGGAGCCAACAUCCAGAGGACUCCCAUGGUGCAGCAGUUCCAGGAGGAAGAGACCCAGGAGACAUCAAAUAGCCACUCCAUUCUUAAAAAACUGUGUGGAGUUGAUUUCUAAAUGAACAGAAGCCCGUGUCCUUUCCUCUGACCUUCACUCUCUUUCUAGCUCUAUUUUCACCCCAUCUCUCCAUGAGUAACACCUGCCCUCUCUGGGACCCAAUUUCCUCAUCAACACCACAAAGGCACAUUUGUCUGCUAACAUACUGGAGGCUGAGUCCUGCCGAACCAAGGCAGAGACCCAAGUUCAAAAGCCAGAUAACAAGAAUCUUGGAGAACCCCUCACACCAACCAUCUUUCCAUCCAAAAUGACAAGCCCUGGACCCGAGUCCCCAGUGGCACCUUGGAAAAUGUCUGCUGGACUAAAAGAUAUUCUGCUGUCCACUUUCCUACUAUGGGAAGAUAUGUACAAAGGCUCAUGAUACUUCAGACCCUUCUGUGAUUUGGCAGCUCCAAAGCCACCUCUCCCCUGCCCCCUGCUAAGGUGACAUGAACUCUCCCUCCUUCUGGCUCCCUCUGACUCCUGCCCAUUGCUGCCCCAUCCCAUUUCUCACCAGGCUGGGAGCACUUCCUGGGCAGACAUGUGUCUUGCUCUCUGUGCUCAGUGCCCAGCAUGAUGCCCCGUUGGAGGCAGGUGCUUCUUCUGUGAUAACAGGUGGAUGGAUGGAUGGAUGGAUGGAUGGAUAAAUCAACUGAUGUAAUAUUUCCCAAAAUUCACUUGGAUAGUUGAGGCCAGCCCUGGGUCCAGAACCCAGACCUGCCACUCUAGAACAAGGCAUUCCCAAAAGAGCACCCCCCUUCCCUGCACAGCCGCUGCCGUGUUACUCUUCAACUCGGGAAAUGCACCAACCCAAACAGCCACAGCCAACUGGGCUGGCAGGCAGCACAGCUGUGCUCCGAGAGCGAAGGAGGGUGGGGUCCCCAAGAGUGGGAGAGUUCUAUAGGAAACUGAAAAAGGUGUCAGCCAGGAAUCCUGAGGGUUCCUGAGCAGCUGGGACCCCUAAGCAAUGGGCCACCAAGGACGGUGUAGAGCAGCUGCAGGGGAAGAGCCAUUUCCUAGGCAAAUCAUCCCAGAGCGGAGAUCAGAAAAAGGAGCUUUGGGCUUGGGGACAUGUGAACUGCAGACACAGGCUGUACUUGCGCCACCACUCCUCAGCCCCGGGUACUUGCACCCAGUAGCCAACAGGCACGUCACUUUUGAAACUUUUUUUU
rnacentral:lncRNA from 1 species